ACAUGCGAACAUGAUUUACUCAAGAGAAUACAGUGGAAAAUUGAACAUGUACCGAAAAAAACUCCGCAUGUCCGUGCAUAUAUUUUAAUGUCAUAACGUGUUUGGACUGAAUAUUUUACCGGAUUUGAUCGUGUGGACCUUUGUCAAUGUAAGGAGACUGUUUUGUCGAUCAGUGGAUUAAUGAGGCUUCAAAGGUAUCUGCAAACGCUUCAGAGGAGCCAGAUUCACCUGAGGAGGAGGAGGAGGAUGAUGUGUACAGAACAUGAAGAAACGACUGCAUCAGCAAAAGCCGCGCUGGUGUGAGUUGCAGUCAGGUGUCUCCGUUGUGGUCUCAUGUGUUGACGGCACACUGUGGUGAUUUAUUCAGCUGCUUUACUGAUACUGUAGAGAGGGGAACGACGUGCAACACGGGCCUCCGUCUGGACUUGAACCAGGGAUGUUGUGGGUA